UGAGGAAUUUUGCGCAAUGGGGGCAACCCUGACGCAGCAACGCCGCGUGAGUGAAGAAGGCCUUUGGGUCGUAAAGCUCUGUCAACAGGGAAGAAGUUAAUAUCUAUUAAUAGUGGAUACUAUUGACGGUACCUGUGGAGGAAGCGCCGGCUAACUCCGUGCCAGCAGCCGCGGUAACACGGGGGGCGCAAGCGUUAUUCGGAAUUAUUGGGCGUAAAGGGCGCGUAGGCGGUCUUGUCCGUCAGGUGUGAAAGCCCGGGGCUCAACCCCGGAAGUGCACUUGAAACAGCAAGACUUGAAUACGGGAGAGGAAAGCGGAAUUCCUGGUGUAGAGGUGAAAUUCGUAGAUAUCAGGAGAAACACCGAUGGCGAAGGCAGCUUUCUGGACCGAUAUUGACGCUGAGGCGCGAAGGCGUGGGUAGCGAACGGGAUUAGAUACCCCGGUAGUCCACGCAGUAAACGUUGUACACUCGGUGUGGCGGAUAUUAAAAUCUGCUGUGCCCAAGCUAACGCAUUAAGUGUACCGCCUGGGAAGUACGGUCGCAAGACUA
rnacentral:rRNA from 1 species